rnacentral:rRNA from 1 species
GUGAAUGGUAAAUAGCCGCGGUAACUUGACUGUGCAAAGGUAGCAUAAUCAUUAGUCUUUUAAUUGGGGGCUGGAAUGAAGGGUUUGACGAAGAUUUACUUUUUUAGUUUAUUUUACGAAUUUUAGGUUACAGUGAAGACGCUGUACUGGUGCUAAGUGACGAGAAGACCCCGUAAAGCUUUAGGCUUACUAGUGUAUUUGUGCUGUGUGUUUUUUGUUGGGGCAACAGGCAUGAGUAGCUAAUGGCUAUUUAUAAAUGUAUAAAAUUGUUAGUCUGAGUUAUGACCUAGUUUAUGUUAAAAUUUAGAUAAGUUACUUUGGGGAUAACAGCGUAAUUUGGUUGGAGAGUUCUUAUUGAUAGCCGAGCUUGCGACCUCGAUGUUGAAUUAAGAGUCCUUUUAGUUGUAGCUGGCUUUUAGUGGCGGUCUGUUCGACCGUUAAUAUUCUUACA